rnacentral:lncRNA from 1 species
AUGCUUUCUGGUAGAAAAGCUGAUGCUGUUUGUUUUAGGAAGGAAAACGUUAGACAUUCUGUUCCUGAGAUGGAAGAUGUUUACGCACCAAAAGCAGCAUUUUCUCCAAUUGUUCCAGUAAGAAUUGAAGCAAAUCACUUUUUCAUCUCAGACUUGAAGACUACAAUUAGGGUGACGAACCGGGAGAGGACAGGCGAGAAGGAAACUUUUAAGACCGCUGCAGGAAGAUAACUGGAGUCCAUAGAGCAUUUAUUAAAGUAACAUCAGCACGUGAAUCUAAAAAUAGUGUCUCUGAUGCUGUGUGUAUAUGACUGAUAUUAAAAAUGACUGAUUUAAAAGAAAGUGCUUCACCUCUGUUGCCAACCAGGAAGGUAGGUCUCCAGUAUUCUCAGACUUAAAUGCUGCCAGUAUUUCACGUUAGGAUAGUCAUAAAGUUAAAGGUUAAUAGGCUGUACAAAUGACAGAGUUUAAAGGGAAAAAUGAAGAUGGGAAGAUUUCUAGCACUUAGGGAACAUUUUAAAAAUGAAGCUCUUCUGUCCAAUGUAAUUUUUUCUAUAUUCUUUCUCACGCUGUUGAUCAUUAUUGAAAAUAUUUCUAUUUGCAUAAGUGAUUUCUCCUUCCCUGCCCACCUCCGUUUGCUUUUUGGAUGAUCAUUACUUCCCACAGUACAUGAUGAGUCAUAAUCCUGCUGCUGCCAUAACAGUCCACUGCCAUGAGACUGUAAUAGGGCUAAAUUAAAACUAGUCUGGGAGGGAGGAUGGGCAGGGAGAAACGGAGGACGAGGAAGGCUUUUAUUUAAUUGUGAGUCAUUUGAAUUGGCGGGUUGAGGAGCAAGGCAAACACGUGCAUUGCUGGAAAUGGAGUUUGGCUGUGGUAUUUCAGGUUAGCUCAACAGAUGCUGUGAGUGGCAAAAAGUUAUUGCUUUAUCAGCCUGGCUGCAGUGAUUGGCAUGCAAUUUGUUCUAUAAUACUGGCGUUAGAAAUCAGACUCUAAUGGCAAGAUUAACAUUACUAAGAUAAAUACCUUUACAAGGAGACUGCCAGUUAUCGUACUUGCUUUUGCACUGAUGAAGAGAAAUUCCCCCCUGAUUUAUGUGUAGGUCUUCCAGAGCAACUGGAAGAAACAGCCUUUGUUGGAGCAUCGUUUGUUGUGAUUCUCUCGGGAUUUAAAUUGCGGUGAAGCACAGCCCUUUAAAAUGUACUAUUUCUUGGGUGGCCCAGAUGCUCUCCCC